CAGAGGUUUGAAACCGGGGGCCGAUUUUGAUAGCGAGAAAGGCCACGAGGCCGCCACACUCUCUUCUGCUCUUCAUCACGAGCUCCAGUGCUCGCCAAAACAACGACCAACGCUCUCCGAUCGUACCUUCAAUAACCACCGUUCCGACUCUACCUAUUCGUACGACCGCCAUGACUUUACUUGAAGAAGAGAGCUUGAAACUUAGCGAAGUUCAAAGCCUUGAAGGUCACACUGAUAGGGUAUGGGGUCUCGCUUGGAAUCCAGCUACUGGUGCCGAUGGUGUACCUGCUGUCCUUGCUUCUUGUAGCGGGGAUAAGACUAUUCGAAUAUGGCAACAACGGAGCCCUUCCUCUACUUCCUUCGAUUGCAAGGCAGUAUUAGAAGAGAGACAUACUCGGACCGUUAGAUCAUGUGCUUGGUCGCCAUCUGGUAAACAAUUGGCAACUGCAAGUUUUGAUGCCACCACUGCUAUUUGGGAACAGAAUGGGAGCGAUUUUGAAUGCGUGUCCACUUUAGAGGGCCAUGAAAAUGAAGUUAAAAGCGUGUCCUGGAAUGCAUCUGGUUCCCUUCUUGCAACUUGUAGCCGAGACAAAUGUGUUUGGAUAUGGGAAGUUUUGCCAGGGAAUGAGUUUGACUGUGUUUCUGUGUUGCAAGGACAUACACAAGAUGUUAAAAUGGUCCAGUGGCAUCCAACUGUGGAUGUUUUAUUCUCUUGUAGCUAUGAUAAUACUAUUAAGGUUUGGGCAGAGGAUGGUGAUAGUGAUGAUUGGCGUUGUGUGCAGACUUUAGGUGAAUCAAACAGGUCACUUCCAACCAGAAUUCAUGGAGCUAAUUCUGCUGAUCCAUUGAUCCUGUUCAAAUUGUUGGACACUCAUCUACAGUAUGGGCAUUAUCUUUUAAUGGCACUGGAGAUAAGAUGGUUACAUGCAGUGAUGAUCUCACCAUCAAGGUUUGGGGUGUGGACAUUACAAGAUUGCAAUCUGGUGAUGGGAAUGCAUCUUGGAGACACCUUUGCACUAUGUCUGGUUAUCAUGAUAGGACGAUUUUCUCGGUCCAUUGGUCAAGGGAAGGCAUAAUAGCUACUGGAGCAGCUGACGAUGCCAUACGCUUAUUUGGCGAGUCUGAAGAUCAUCCGGUUGAUGGACCUUCGUAUAAGUUGCUUCUCAAGAAGGAAAAGGCUCAUGCCAUGGAUAUAAAUUCGGUGCAAUGGAGCCCUGCGGGGAACAGGCUUCUUGCUUCUGCAAGUGAUGAUGGGACCAUCAAGAUCUGGAAGCUGGAAUCGUUGCAGUGAACACCAUAACAUUCUUUUCCAGUAAUCCCCCGCUACUUUUAUAGUAUCAUAAUUACGUAUUUAAACCAUAACGCUUCUAAUUUUGGUCUAUAAAUCUAUAAUAACAUGAGUUAUUUAAGUUGUGUGUAAUUUAUGUAGUUUAAUGGAAUGCAUUGAUCAUAACAAUGAA